rnacentral:rRNA from 1 species
UACGUAGGGUGCAAGCGUUAAUCGGAAUUACUGGGCGUAAAGCGUGCGCAGGCGGUUUUGUAAGCCAGAUGUGAAAUCCCCGGGCUUAACCUGGGAAUGGCAUUUGGGACUGCAAGGCUUGAGUGCGGCAGAGGAGACUGGAAUUCCUGGUGUAAGCAGUGAAAUGCGUAGAUAUCAGGAGGAACACCGAUGGCGAAGGCAGGUCUCUGGGCUGACACUGACGCUCAUGCACGAAAGGCGUGG